rnacentral:rRNA from 1 species
CCUACGGGUGGCAGCAGUGAGGAAUAUUGGUCAAUGGACGAGAGUCUGAACCAGCCAAGUAGCGUGAAGGAUGACUGCCCUAUGGGUUGUAAACUUCUUUUAUAUGGGAAUAAAAUAUUGUACGCAUACCCUUUUGUAUGUACCAUAUGAAUAAGGAUCGGCUAACUCCGUGCCAGCAGCCGCGGUAAUACGGAGGAUCCGAGCGUUAUCCGGAUUUAUUGGGUUUAAAGGGAGCGUAGGUGGAUUGUUAAGUCAGUUGUGAAAGUUUGCGGCUCAACCAUAAAAUUGCAGUUGAAACUGGUAGUCUUGAGUACAGUAGAGGUGGGCGGAAUGCGUGGUGUAGCGGUGAAAUGCUUAGAUAUCACGAAGAACUCCGAGUGCGAAGGCAGCUCACUGGACUGCAACUGACACUGAUGCUCGAAAGUGUGGGUAUCAAACAGGAUUAGAUACCCCAGUAGUC